GUGCUUGCUUUGGCAGCGCAUAUACUAAAAUUGGAAUUAUACAGAGAAGAUUAGCAUGGCCCCUGUGUAAGUAUGAUAUGAAAAUUCAUGAAGAGUUAGAAUCUUAU
ensembl:snRNA U6 U6 spliceosomal RNA